rnacentral:rRNA from 1 species
AUUGAACGCUGGCGGCAUGCCUUACACAUGCAAGUCGAACGGUAACGGGCCUUCGGGUGCCGACGAGUGGCGAACGGGUGAGUAAUGUAUCGGAACGUACCUUUCAGUGGGGGAUAACGUAGCGAACGUUACGCUAAUACCGCAUAUUCUGUGAGCAGGAAAGCAGGGGAUCGCAAGACCUUGCGCUGAUUGAGCGGCCGAUAGCAGAUUAGCUAGUUGGUGAGGUAAAGGCUCACCAAGGGGACGAUCUGUAGCGGGUCUGAGAGGAUGAUCCGCCACACUGGAACUGAGACACGGUCCAGACUCCUACGGGAGGCAGCAGUGGGGAAUUUUGGACAAUGGGGGCAACCCUGAUCCAGCCAUGCCGCGUGAGUGAAGAAGGCCUUCGGGUUGUAAAGCUCUUUCGGCCGGGAAGAAAUCGUAUCAGCUAAUACCUGGUGCGGAUGACGGUACCGGCAUAAGAAGCACCGGCUAACUACGUGCCAGCCGCCGCCGUAAAAC